rnacentral:rRNA from 1 species
UGGGGAAUAUUGCGCAAUGGUCGAAAGACUGACGCAGCGACGCCGCGUGUGGGAGGAAGCCCUUCGGGGUGUAAACCACUGUCAGGGGGGAAGAACUCCGGAUUCGCAAAUAGUGCUUCCGGUUGACGGUACCCCCAGAGGAAGCGCCGGCUAACUCCGUGCCAGCAGCCGCGGUAAGACGGAGGGCGCAAGCGUUGUUCGGAAUUACUGGGCGUAAAGCGCAGGCAGGCGGUCUGUUAAGUCUUCUGUGAAACUCCGGAGCUCAACUCCGGACUUGCAGAAGAUACUGGCAGACUAGAGAGUGGUAGAGGCAAGCGGAAUUCCUGGUGUAGCGGUGGAAUGCGUAGAUAUCAGGAAGAACACCUGUGGCGAAGGCGGCUUGCUGGGCCAUCUCUGACGCUCAUCUGCGAAAGCGUGGGGAGCAAACAGGAUUAGAUACCCGUGUAGUCC